CUAAGACGACUCUCUGUAACGUCGUUAAGAAAUACCAUCUGUUAAGUAUAUUAUUGUUUGCUGUUGAAUAUAGACAUAUAUUAAUGUUGCGAGCAUUAGGCCCAAGAAGAAAUAUCUAUAUAUAUAUAUAUAUAUAUAUAUAUAUAUAUAUAAAAGACUUAUUCAACUAAAUAAACACAGCCAGUUAUUACAUAGUGAUUUCAUAAAGUAUUGAAGUAUUGGUCCUUAAAAGGAUACUAAAACCCUUUUGAGUGAGGGAUCCUGUACUGUGUAAUAUGCCCUAUUAGACAUAUUAUGUAUAACUCCAACUCCCCCUUUGCAGUAAAACCUGCAAAAAUAAAGAGAUUUACUCACAUUUUUAUGCACAAAGUAACAUAAUGAAGCCCAAAACAAGAGUGGCAUACCUAUGACCACUUCAAAAAGAAAAGUUGGUGAAAACGAUUGGAUUCUGACUGGAUUGAAAAUUCAGAUAUUUACCAACUCUUGUCAAAAUUCUUUCAUUCUGACCAAAUGAAGACUUCUGGCUGGAUACAUUUGGGGUUUGCUUUAAAAUCAGUGCUUUUGACUUAUUUUGACAGAUAUUUGUUUAAGUCUGUGGAAGCUGCCAAUGUAAAAUGUAAAAAAAAAAAAUGCAAAUUGGGUUUCAGUUUAACCCCUCCCCCAACUCUGGGUAGAACAUUUCUUCUUUUUAUAUUUUCUGACCCACAAUGCUUGUUCCAUUCUGAUCCAGAUGUUAGCCAUUCAGUUAGGCUGAAAUGUACACUAUAUGAAAAAAAGCAUUGGGACACAACACUUACUGAACUCAGGUGUUUCAAUCAGACGCAUUAAAAUAGACGAACGUAGCCUUGCAGUCUGCAUUUAUAAACAUUAGUCAAAAAAAUUAGUAAUUCUGCAGACCUCAGUGAAUGCAAGCAUGGUACUGUGUUAGGAUGAUACUUUUGCAAUAAGUCUGGGUUUGGCAGAUGCCAGGAGAACCUGCCUGACUGCAUUGUGACAACUGUAAAGUUUGGUGCAUGAGGUAUAAUGGUAUUGGGCUGUUUUUCACAGAUUGGCCUAGGGCCCUAGGCCCAUUACUUCCAGAAAAGAAAGAUUUGAAUGCUUCAGCAUUCAAUGCUAUGCUUCCAACUUUGUGGAAACAGUUUGAUGAAGGCCCUUUUCUAUUCCAGCAUGACUGUGCCACAGUGGACAAAUCAAGGUCCGUAAAGACAUGGUUGGAUUAGUUUGGUGUGGAAGAACUUGACUGGCAUGCAUACCUUUCGGAUUAAAUGAAACAGAGAUUGCGAGCCAGGCCUUCUCAUCCAAUGAGAUGCCUGACCUCACAAAUGCUGCACUUUAUGAUUGACCAAACAUUCCCACAGAAACACUCCAAAAUCUCAUGUAAACCGUUCCCAGAAGAGUGGAAGGGAACCCUGUGUUUGGCACCUCCCUCCCCCGUCCCCCCCCUACACUUAAAUGUAAAAAAAAUACACACAAUAUUUUUGAAAAUGUUUUCAUUUUUAAAAAUUGCACAAAUGUGUACAUUUGGAAAAAAAACCUGUUCUGCCCCCUUUUACAAAAUCCAUCUCCUGCUGCUUCUCUACAAAAUGUAUGUCCUGCCCCCUUCUACAAAACCUCUGCACCCCCCUUCCACAAAUCCCCUACUAAGCCCCCCUUAUACACCUGUCCCCUUCUACAAACUCCUGCACCCCCGUUCCAUAAAACUCCUGCACACCCCUUCCCAAAAAAACCUGCCUCUUCCUCUAAAGCCCCUGCUCAGCCCCUAACAAUACAAUUAUUAUUUUUUUACACAACAAUAUUAGCAACAGUUUUCAGAGACCAGUCCCAGGCACAUAGUCACUCGCACACAGUCACACACAUAGUUACAGGCAGAAAGUCACACACACACGCAGACAGUCACAUGCAGAUAGCCACACACACAGUUAAAGGCAGCAUCCCCCAAUCACAGGCACACUGUCACACACACAUAGUCACAUGCAGACAGUCACACACAGACACACUGUCCCACACAGCCAGUCACAGGUAGACAAUCACACACACACGCACACACACACACACACACAAACACAAACACAGCCACAGGCAGACAGUCACACACACAAUCACAGGGGCAGACACACACACACACAAUCACAGGCAGACAGUUACACAUGCACACAAUUACAGGCAGACAGUCACACACACACACAGAGCCAGAAACAAAUAUUAAAACUUUAUUUACUCAGCCAUACUCUGAGCAUAACCCAGACCUGCCACGUUGGUAUCCUAGGCUGCUGCACAAAACCUACACAUCACCUGAUGUUUGAGAACAAAUGCCCUGAGGAAUGGAAUAAAAUAAUAUGAUCUCAUAUUUUUUACCUGAUUUUUUUUUUUAGGUUUAGAGAAAGUGACUUUAUAUUAACCCCUUGGUGACCAGACCGUUUUUCCGUUUUCUUACCGUUAAGGACCAGGGCUCUUUUUAAAUUUCUGCGGUGUUUGUGUUUUGCUGUAAUUUUCCUCUUAUUCAUUUACUGUACCCACACAUAUUAUAUACCGUUUUUCUCACCAUUAAAUGGUCUUUCUAAAGAUACCAUUAUUUUCAUCAUAUCAUAUAAUUCACUAUAAACAAACAUUAUCUGUCAGUCCCUACAUUGGCUUCCUGUAAGAUAUAGGGCUCAAAUUCUGGUUCUUGCUUUCAAAUCUCUACAUAAUGCUGCUCCCACCUAUCUAUCCUCCCUUAUACACAAGUAUGUCCCGUCUAGGCCCUUACGAUCUGCUGAAGACUUACGUCUAUCUUCUGUCCGUACUCCCACCUCUGAUGCCUGAUGCUUGCCUUCAAGACUUCUUGAGGGCUACACAGUUCCUGUGGAACUCACUUCCCUCCUCCGUUAGAUGUCACCCAGUCUCCACUCCUUCAAAAAAUCAUUAAAAACCCACUUCUUCAUAAAAGCAUAUCAAUUAAACUGUUAAUAGCUCCUGACUGAUUCCUCUCUUACAACUGAGACUGGGCCCCUUAAAACAGCAUUAACACCCAGCACUCCCAAGCAACCAAGUCCUGCUGAAUCUUCAGAGCAGAGGUAUUAUCUCUGGAAGAUCAACUCAAGAAUACCUGCAUUACUGUUUCCUUUGAACUCUUAUUUUCAAACUGUGUUCUAUUCCAUCUCCCUCCCUAUACUACCACUACUUAAUUGAUAACUAUAUCUCCCAUCCUGAUCUUCUGUUUUUGUUUUUAUUAAGGCUGGUAUGAUCAUGUAAUUUUAUGUUCAUUCUCUUAGACUCUUUGUUAAUGGUUUGUUUGUUUAGCUAGUGUUACUACUCUCACUGAUAAUAUAGUAAAUUUAUGUUCAUGGUUUAUGACUUUCACCUAUCUGAUCCUUCCUAUCUUUUUAUCCCAAAUGUUCUCUCCUUUUAGUUUUUCAUCUCUAAUUAAUUACCUCAAUAGCCCCAUGUCUCCCCACCCAUAACAGUGUGUUUUAUUUCAUUUUUUUUUCUAACCUCAGACCUUAUAUUUCAGACUGGGCCCCUUAAAACAGCAUUAACACCCAGCACUCCCAAGCAACCAAGUCCUGCUGAAUCUUCAGAGCAGAGGUAUCAUCUCUGGAAGAUUGCCCACCCUCCCCACACCAUCCCACCCCAUGGUCAUCAACUUAUUUAUAGAUAGUGCACAUCAGCAGGUUUCCUUAACACCACUCAUUAAGUCAUUAAACCACUCUUCACAUGAAUUCUUUUAACACACUGCAUCCUUACAAUGGUUUAAACACUCAUUGAUAUUUGUGUGUGUUUGUAUAUAUGAUCUACAUAUCUAUAUAAUACACAUUUUCUCUAAUGUUCUCCCUUCUAUUUUUCACUUUAACACUAACUUCUGUCAUUACUAAAAUAUCCCUAUCCUUUCACUCACCUGUCCCUGGCAACACCAUCAUCAUUACUUCCACCUUACUCCCCUCCCCUCUCUAUUCAUCCCAUGCACUCUACACAUACCUUUCCAGCCUAUCUCCACCAACUCUUUCCAAAUCCUCUACAUACAUACCCUCCUACAAAACUUUAAAAUCCUACUCCAACCUUCACUUCCUUUCUAUCCUUCUGCUCCUAGCAGCUGGUGAUGUCUCUCCAAACCCCGGUCCCCUCUCAACAAACUCAGCACAUACUAACCCAAGGAUCCACACUAAUCUCAUACCCAUCUCUUGUUCCUCUAAAUCCUCCUUCAAUACUGCCCGCACGCUCUGUUUGCAAUAUAACGCACGCUCUGUUUGCAAUAUAACUAAAUCCACUGCUGUCCAUGACUUCUUCAUCUCUCGUUCAAUAGAUUUACUAGCCUUAACAGAAACCUGGCUCUCCCCCUCUGACACUGCCACCCCUGCAUCUUUGUCCUUCGGUGGUCUCCAACUUACCCACAACCCAAGAAACUCUGAAUGUAAAGGAGGUGGUGUUGGGUUUCUCCUCUCCCCUCACUGCUCUUUUAAACCUCUUCCCACCCCCCCUUCCCUCUCUUUCCCGUCAUUUCAAAUACACUCAAUUCGCCUUUUCAAACCCUUCUCUACUAACAUUGCUGUUAUUUACCGUCCCCCUGGUUCCCCUCUUCUCUUCCUUGACCACUUUGCUGCCUGGCUACCCUAUUUCCUCUCUUCUAACAUUCCAUCCCUAAUUCUCGGGGACUUCAAUAUUCCUAUAAACCCACCCUUGACCUCUGCAGCCAAUAAACUACUUUCAAUUACUUCCUCCCUCGGGCUAUCACAGUGGGCAAAUUCUCCCACCCAUGUAGCUGGCAAUACCCUUGACCUAAUCUUCACUUACGCAUGUACUGUAUCUAAUAUCUGCAACAUUCCGUAUCCACUCUCUGAUCACCACCUCUUAUCGUUUGCUCUCACGUACCCCCUCACCCAACAACCUCCGCCUAACCAGCCUCAACUCAGGAGGGACCUUAAUUCUCUUGAUCUCCAACAGUUGUCAGCUGACAUUGAUUCACAACUGCUGUCCAUCCCUUCCCUCUCCUGUCCUUCACUGGCCAUCUCCAUAUAUAACUCUACCCUUACAUCUGCCUUGAACACUGCAGCGCCACUCCAAACAAGCUCCUCAAGGAGGACUCGCCCCCAACCAUGGCAUACUAAAUCAACGUGCUACCUGCAAAGAUGCUCCCGUUGUGCUGAACGCUCCUGGAGGAAGUCUCGCACCCAGUCAGACUUUCUCCAUUAUAGAUUCAUAUUGUGUUCAUACAGUGCAGCCCUUGCCCUUGCCAAACAGUCCUAUUUUUCCUCUCUCAUUAGUUCAUGUUCCCGCAACCCCAGGCGUCUCUUUGACACCUUUAAUUCUCUUCUUCGCCCCACUGUGGCCACCCCCCAAGCCAACCUUACUGCUGAUAACGUUGCAUGCUACUUCACUGACAAAAUUGAACAGCUAAGGAAAGAAUUCUCCCCUCCUUGCCUUUCUGUUUCUCAAUCACACAUAGAUCAUGCCUUUCCUACCCUUCAGAUAUUCUCCCCAGCCACUUUCCAAAAGGUGGCUGCUCUUCUUUGCUCCUCUCGCCCCACCACUUGCCCGCUCGAUCCUGUCCCAUCUCACCUUAUCAGCUCUCUCUCCACUUGUCUCGUGCCUUCUCUAACACACAUCUUCAACUACUCGCUCUCUUCUGGCAUCGCCCCUGCUGACCUUAAACAUGCCACUGUAGUACCUAUACUAAAAAAAACAUCCCUCGACCCGUCCACCCCCUCUAACUACCGUCCCAUAUCCCUGCUCCCUUUUUCCUCAAAGCUUCUGGAACGACUUGUCUUUACCCGUGUGUCUCAUUUCCUCAAUUCCAACUCUCUCCUUGACCCCCUUCAAUCUGGCUUCCGCCCUCUCCACUCUACAGAGACUGCCCUUAUCAAAGUUACUAACGACCUAAUCGCAGCUAAAUCCAAAGGCCACUACUCCAUACUAAUACUUCUUGACCUCUUAGCGGCCUUUGACACCGUUGAUCAUGCUCUCCUUCUUUAAACUCUGCAAUCGCUUGGUCUCUGUGACUCUGUCCUCUCAUGGUUUUCCUCUUAUCUCUCCCAACGCUCAUUCAGUGUCUCUUUUUCUAAUGAUACCUCCUCCCCUCGCCCUGUCUCGGUUGGAGUCCCCCAAGGCUCCGUCCUUGGUCCCCUUCUAUUUUCUCUUUAUACUGCCUCUCUUGGCAAACAUAUUACCUCAUUUGGAUUCCACUACCACCUGUACGCUGAUGACACCCAGCUAUAUCUCUCCUCCCAGGACCUCUCCCCUGCUGUCCUGCAAGAAAGGGGCGGGGAGAGAUUGAGUUUCAGAAAGCGGGAGGACAUCCAGUCAGAGAUGGAAGAAAGGCAAGCAGUAACACACACACACUAAAACUAACACACUCCCUGACACUCACUAGCAGACACACACACUGACACACAAAAACUAACACUAAUACACACACACACUCUAACACUAACACACAUACACACAUGGUUUUUUUUAUGAUCUAAGUAUAUAUAUAUAUAUAUAUAUAUAUAUAUUUUUUUUUUUUUACACUUUACUUUUUAAUUAAUUUAUUUAAAUUUUAUUUUCAGCCAGCAGGGGGACCACCUGUAAUUACAGGCAGCCCCCCUGCUGGCAAUGCAGGAGGCAGCCAGCCCCGGCCAUGUGAUUGUGGGGUCCUCACAAGGACCUCACGCUCACAUGGCCGGGGGGCACCGGAGGAGGAGGAUCUACCACCGCGAUUGCUGGCGAACGGGUAAGUAAGGAAAGACCGGAGGGCGUACAAUUACGCCCGUCGGCGUUUAGAGCCGCCUAAAAUAGGGCGUAAUUGUAUGCCCUCUGGUCUUAAGGGGUUAAACUUGUGGUAUUUUGACUCUUUUCAUGCAACCAUUUUACCACCAAUCUAUGCCAAAAAUUGUUUAAUUGUUUUAAAAACGUCUUUCAAAAUAUUUUCACAAAAGGCUGGUGAUAUUGUGAAAAUAUUUUGAAAGAUGUUUUUAAAAAUAUAACUUUUUUGAAAUGCUUUAUAAAAAUUUUCCUUCUUUUUUUCAAAAAUUUUUUUACUCUUAUCACUCUUUUUUGUCUACAAUAUAUAUAUUUUGUUUUAUUUUUCUAUUAAGAUUAUUAUGAUUCAGUUCUUUUUUCUUUCUUUUUAUUUCCCCCUCCUCCCUUUUAUCCCUAUGAAUCUCCUGUACAUAUAUGGAUAUUUCUCCUCCAAUAGACACAUGAAUGCUAUGGAGGUUUUGUAUUUAAGUAUACAGGGUUUGAUCAGACGAACAUAGUCUGUCCUCUCUUUUUGUCCCUUUUAUAUAAGGGCAUUUAUCCUAUGUCAGGACUUAUUAGGAACUUUCUGUGACUGCCUGCUCAUUCAUAUAUAUGUAUGUGGUAUGUGGCGAUUUUGCUGUUCACUCUGUGCGCUGUAUCAUUUCUGUAUUGAUAUCUUGACUUGCGCACUGAUGAUUGUGAGAGAGCAUUUAUUCUAAGUUUGGCGCGCAUGCGCGGACACUCUGGCGGGACAUGCGCAUUAACUAAUCCCGGCAAGCGAGGGGAUUGGACGUUGCCAGCUUAGCACUACCUGAUGGGCGGUCAGUAGCGGCUAUAUAGAUGGGAAUGAGAGGGGGGGGUGGGAUCUAAUUAGACAUACUGUACUUUGCUCUUGAGAAAGGCGGUUUACCCGCCGAAACGCGCGUCAGGCUUGUUUCUCCGAUGUACAUUGUUAUACCUUUAGUGUUACUCUUUUAGAUUAAUGUUUUAGUGACUCUGGGGUUGAUCGGUUCUAUACGCUGGGAUGAUUAUUUAAUAGGGAGAUAUUGUGAGGUGGAUCUAUCUAGUUUUGUCUGUCUUACUUAGACUUACUUUAUAUUUAUAUUUAUAUCCAUCUCUACUUUUCAUUUCUCUCUUCGUUUAUAUUAUCUUCCCUAUCCUUUCGAUUUCCAAUGCAAGUCAACUAACUUGCACUUUCUGACUUUCUGCAGGGUUUAAUCUAUAAUAUAUAACCUACUUAGCACUAACUCUUUCUGAGUUUAGACUAUUAUAUGGAAUAGUGCUCCGAUUAUUUUCACCUAUACUGGAACCUUGCAGUUUAUAGACAGUAUUGUGUUAUCUUUAUGAGUCCUUAGGUAAUUUGAUUUAUUUUUUAUUUAUUUUUCUCAAUUUGUUUUUGUUUGAAUAUACCUUUACCUUUAGUGGACUCCUAUUAACAGUGUAUUGAGUGUUUAAAUACGUUGGGGCGACCAUAUAAUAUAGUAUGGAGUUACUAUGAGACUGAUUUUUUCAGCUCUGGGGUUUAUUUGAACUUUCUCUUUACUUAUAUGGUCCUCCCCAUUAGUUUACUCUUUUUAUACAAGUUUAUCCCUUUUGUUAGGUUCAAUAUGUAUCCAAGUAUCAUGUGUAGCUUUAACUCUGUUUGAGUUCAAUCUGCUACAUAUAACAGUGAUUGAUACAUGCUGUUUCCAUUAUAACCUUGUAGUCCACUGUCCUAUAUACGAGUCCUUAGGUUUUUUGAUUUUAUUCUUAAUAAAAUUUAUUUAUUUUCCUUAGACGUUGAUUUGUCUUGGGUGGUUUGAAGGAGAACAGCCUGAUCUGUUACGGGGUUGUUUUUUCCUUCACUUUUUUGUAUAUUUCGUGCUUUAUGCAGGGUUAUGCCCGUAUUGCCACCCUUAUAACCCGCUUUUCUCUGUACUCCCUAUUUGGAUUUUCUAUCUAGGGAAUACUUCUAUUUACUAUGUAUAAUAUAUAUAUAUAUUUUUUUUUUACUUUUUAGCAGCCUGGGGGACUGUCGGACAGCUCAGACAGUCCCCCUGUUGGCAGCUCCUCGACUCCUAUUGCUGCGAUGUAAUCAUGGUGAUCACAUAGCCCUGGAGGGCCAGGGUGGUCUCCGGCAGUCCCCCCCCCCCACCGACCGUGAUUGCUGCGUAUUGCUGGUCCAGG
rnacentral:lncRNA from 1 species